AGAGACGGAGUUUCACCAUGUUAGCCAGGAUGGUCUCGAUCUCCUGACCUCGUGAUCCACCCGCCUCGGCCUCCCAAAGUGCUAGGAUUACAGGAGUGAGCCACCGCUCCCGGCCAAAAGUUUUUAAGCUUUUUAAAAACAGAUGUAUAUUUGGAUGAAAAAAAUCAAAUUCAAGUGCAAGUGAUUUUUAAAGUGACAUGGCAAAGUGAAAUGGAGGAUUGAAGCAGUUUUCUGGAUAGCCCAGGCUACCACCUGACCACCUCAUCUGAUAUGUACAUAUUGUUUUCCUGAGCGUAAAGAAUUUUGCCACAGCUAAAGUCAGUAUUUCUCAGCUUCUUCUUGCAGCUAGAUGUGGCCACGUGAUUAUGUUUUGGCAAUGGGAUAUGAACAAAAAUGAUAUGUGGCGCAUUCAGGGCCUGACCUCAACGGAUUGUUAUGUGAACAUCCAUUGUGUCUUCUCCCUUUCUGCUGACUGAGAUGUAGUUGUGAUAGCAGGAACUGGAGGAGCCACUUUGGACUCAGAGGUGGAAAACCUGUGUUGAGGAGUCCUGGACUUUUAUGUAAAAACUUCUUAUUUAAACUAUUGUAUGUCUGAGCCCUUUGAUCACAGCAUCUUAGGAUGUAUUCCCAUAAGUACAAUAUCUUUGCUUCAUAAUAAACUGCCUCCAAAUGCAGUGACUUAAAAAAACAAUCAUUUAUUAGCUCCUGAUACUGUUAUUUGUCAGUGUUGGCUAUGCUCAUCUGGGCAGUUGCCUGGGUUCACUUACAUGGCUACAGGUAGCUGGUGGGUGUGCUAAGGGAUAAUUGGCUCUUGAUGGCCUAAUUCAUGUGAUUGACAGGGGCAAUGGGAGCAACUGAGUUCCACGUCUCUAGCAUUUAACAAGUUCAGGCUUCUUCUCAUGGUGGCUGGAUUCCAAAUGUAACCAGAGAUAGCAAGCCCCCGUGAGCAAUCACUUUUUACACCCCUGCUUGUGUUAUACUUGGUAAUGCCACACUGGCCAAAAAAAAUAACAUGGCCAAACCAAGAGUGAAUGUGGGAAGGUGUAUAUUUACAGCAGGGUUUCUGAACAGCAACACUACUGAUAUUGGGGCUGGAAAAUUCUUUGUCUUGUGGGCCGUCCUGUGCAUUGUAGGACAUUCAACAGCAUCCCUGGCUUCUACCCCUCAGAUAACAGUAAAAAUUCAGACCAUGAGCUUCACACACCCCAGACCAUAACACACAAACAUGUCUCUAACAUUGCCAGUGACCUUUGAAUGGAAAAAUUGCCUUCAGUUGAAAAUAACUGGUUUACAGGGAGAUGUGAAUCUGGUGUGAAACUUUGAGGACUAUUAGUGCAACAAUCUGCCACAUACUACAAUUGAUAUAGUCAGCGUAUUUUUCUUUGCUGUGUUGUUACUCUUAAAUUCGGACACUGUUGCUAAUUAUCUCCACUGAUGUGUAUGUUUCUGAAAGGCUGUUGUUUAGUUCAAGGACUCAGCCCUUGUGUUUAGAGCUUGAUGUUGUUUGUGAUUCUGCCUUUUAUACUUGGACUACUAGCACAAAACUGGCCUUAGUUACUAGAAAAUAUUAGUAUUGUGAUAUAUUGGAUUAUUAUACUCAAAUCUUUGCUUCUUCUCUGUAAUAAUACAUUUCUUCUUGUUGUCAGUUGACUUACCAUGCCUCACAGGAGGCAAAAUAUGCAUCCUUACUCCAUUGUCCUUGGGCUUGGCCAUGUGACUUGUUUUGACCGAUAGAGGGUGGGUGUACGUAAAUGCCAAUUCUGUCGGAGGUUUUAAAAGGCUUUGC